AUACGUAGGGUGCAAGCGUUAAUCGGAAUUACUGGGCGUAAAGCGUGCGCAGGCGGUUUUGUAAGACAGAGGUGAAAUCCCCGGGCUCAACCUGGGAACUGCCUUUGUGACUGCAAGGCUAGAGUACGGCAGAGGGGGAUGGAAUUCCGCGUGUAGCAGUGAAAUGCGUAGAUAUGCGGAGGAACACCGAUGGCGAAGGCAAUCCCCUGGGACUGUGCUGACGCUCAUGCACGCAAGCGUGGGGAGCAAACAGGGUUAGAUGCCCGGUUAGUCCACGCCCUAAACGAUGUCAACUGGUUGUUGGGUCUUAACGGACUCAGUAACGAAGCUAACGCGUGAAGUUGACAGCCUGGGGAGUACGGCCGCAAGGUUGAAACUCAAAGGAAUUGACGGGG
rnacentral:rRNA from 1 species